rnacentral:lncRNA from 1 species
UGUUGACAUGGGAAUUUAACCUUAUUUAUACCUCACCUUUAACAAAACUUAAAGGAUCAAAUAACCAAGACUUGAAACAAUCAUAUAAGCUCAGUUAAAUUCUUUCAAUAUUGACAGUAUCCAAACCAACAAUUUAAAUCUUUGGUGCUACAUCAGCAAAUCAAUCUUAUUUCCAAACAACACUAUUAUGUUUCAACACCCCACAGAACGCUCUAACACCAUAUCAAACAUUAAUCACUUUCCUUUUAGCCUUGUUAGCACCAAUUCAAACAUGAGAAUACUACCAAGCACACCUACUUACAUCAUCUAAGGCUCAAACACAUUUAAAACAUACUAACUUGAUUGAGUCCUUUACAUAACACUCUAACAGUCUCAAACCAAAUACAGCUAUAGGAACUUCACCAUUCAAACGGAACCCAGCUAGAAUACACAAUGAUUCAUGUGAUCUAAGGCACAAACAAUAAAAUGUAAAUAAAACUCAGAUAAGUCUGCUACCAUCCCUUAAACUCUCAUUUCCAUCUUCAAACUGAAACUUACAUCAAGUUAAGUUCAGAAAAAUGUACCUGGAAUUCAAAUGAAAACAGAAAAAUGAGGGAUUCAGCAACAAACAGUAACAACCAACCCAGAUUCAGCAAUUGAAACAGUGAAAAUCCACUCAGAAGAAUCAAUAGAAUAGUAAACCAUUCAUCAAACUUAAACCAGCACCUAAGUUCAGUCUAUUUUUACCCCAGAUGAGUCAAAAAUUGUUUCAGAAAUUGACGACUUCAAGAAUCACAAAGGAAAACUGAAUGAAAUAGUGAUUUUUAUGAGAUUUUUCUUCUCAUUUUCUAUCUCUCACCUCUCUUGGGUCUGCCUUUCGAUGCAAGAAAAGGUGCCUUUAUGGGCAAGACAAUAAGGCAACCAUUCAGAUUUUAGUUUUACCCCUUAACCCCUUUUCAAAUUUGCUUUUAGCUUAGGGAUCCUUAGCCAGUUUUUGUUUUUGCUUAACUACCUGCAGUUCAAAUAUUAGAGUUUCAAAACAGCCCCCUCCCCAACUUCCUAAAAGCUUCCUUUUCUGUUACAAUGGGAUUCCCUAUACCAAUUUCCCUACAUUACCCUUUAAGACCCCUGUUAUUUACACGUAACCCAGAUGGGUAUGGGUCAAACUGACCCUGGGCAGAAUUCACUCAAGACCCAACCCAGAACAUGAGCCUAAACCUAAAGGCAUGAAACCCCAGGCCCAAAUACAAUCUAGACUCUGAAUCUACCAAGAGCAGAAAGUAAACACGUAUUUGAAAACUAAAAGUUUUAACUGCGCGACUGACUAACUACAAGAACAAGCAAAAAGUGAAUUAGAUUAUUAAAAAGAAACGGACUAACUAUAUUAACUUAGGAGACUAAAUCAAGAGUAAAAACAAAGGAUCAAGCAUAUUGUUGAUAGAAAAUCGACAAAUGGACCUCUAAACCAUGACAAGAUACACGAACACAAAAUUUAACGACAUUCGAAGCCUUGAUCGAAUUAGUGCACUUCAAGAAAGAAAUCUUACUGAUUACAACUCGACCCCAACGCUUGACUUCCUGACUUAACGCAAUCAGUGUUAGUCAAAUUAGACUCGAAAAUCUUGCGACUUCGGACGCCUGUGGUCAUGCAAGCCAUAGAAUCGUAAACGAAAAUGAUUUGGCUUCUUAGGGCUUCGAACUCUGUCCUUAGAUCCAAGAUUCGACAGAUUUGGGAGGGAUUCGAGGGAUAUAGGUUAGAGAUUUUGAAAGAGGGGGUCGCGGGGGUUUCAGGGUGUUAGUUUGGAGGGAUUUGGGAGAAGUUAGGUUUUGGUCUAACUUUCGAUUGAAGAUUCGAGAGGCUGGGCUGAAAUUUGAGAGUGGGGAUUUGGAGAUUUAGAAAGAGGAGAAGGAGAAGAAUCGAUGGUGUAAAAAUGGGGUUAAUCGGAGCAACACCGCCGGUAGAGGCGAUUUCCGGCAGGCAGCUCACGGUUGUUCGAGGUGGCGUUUGAUUGGGGCCUCUGAGGGUUUGAGGGAGAUGAGAG